UACGUAGGGGGCAAGCGUUGUCCGGAUUUAUUGGGCGUAAAGCGCACGUAGGCGGGUCGUUAAGUCAGGGGUGAAAUCCUGGAGCUCAACUCCAGAACUGCCCUUGAUACUGGCGAUCUCGAGUUCGGGAGAGGUGAGUGGAACUGCGAGUGUAGAGGUGAAAUUCGUAGAUAUUCGCAAGAACACCAGUGGCGAAGGCGGCUCACUGGCCCGAUACUGACGCUGAGGUGCGAAAGCGUGGGGAGCAAACAGG
rnacentral:rRNA from 1 species